rnacentral:rRNA from 1 species
UACGGGGGGGGCAAGCGUUGUUCGGAAUUACUGGGCGUAAAGGGCUCGUAGGUGGCCAACUAAGUCACACGUGAAAUCCCUCGGCUUAACCGGGGAACUGCGUGUGAUACUGGAUGGCUUGAGUUUGGGAGAGGGAUGCGAAAUUCCAGGUGUAGCGGUGAAAUGCGUAGAUAUCUGGAGGAACACCGGUGGCGAAGGCGGCAUCCUGGACCAAUACUGACGCUGAGGAGCGAAAGCCAGGGGAGCAAACGGG